rnacentral:tRNA from 1 species
CCGCCCAUAGCUCAGUUGGUAGAGCAGCUCCCUUUUAAGGAGAAGGUCCUAGGUUCGAGCCCUAGUGGGCGGACAA